GAUGAAGAACGUAGCGAAAUGCGAUAAGUAAUGUGAAUUGCAGAAUUCAGUGAAUCAUCGAGUUUUUGAACGCAUAUUGCGCCCUCUGGUAUUCCGGGGGGCAUGCCUGUUCGAGCGUCAUUAAAUAACCCUCAAGCAUAGCUUGGUGUUGGGCCCCGCCGCCCCGGCGGGCCCUAAAGUCAGUGGCGGUGCCGUCCGGCUCCGAGCGUAGUAAUUCUUCUCGCUCUGGAGGUCCGGUCGUGUGCUCGCCAGCAACCCCCAAUUUUUUUCAGGUUGACCUCGGAUCAGGUAGGGAUACCCGCUGAACUUAAGCAUAUCAAUAAGCGGAGGA
rnacentral:misc_RNA from 1 species